GCUGGAAGAGGCGGAAUGGGUGGGACUGUCGCUGACGGAGGCGGUGUACAAGGCCAAUAAGGAGCAGCAGCGCCCCCCGAUGCCCAUGAAGCACGUCUUCCAGGAUCAGCUUAUCGUCGAACUGCACAAAAAAAGAAUCGAAAUCAGAGAGAAAGCCUUGUGAAUGGAUUCAUGGUCUUGUUUGUGUCUGAUUAAUAAUUAAUUGUUGAAAAUUGUACGAACGUGUAUGGGCGGCGGACGGGUUUACUCGUUACAAGGAAUUGGUGAAUUUUGUGAAUUUCUGUAAACGUUUUUUGCCAUAAAAAUAAUACCGUAA